GAAGAUCACAAACUGUGAGUGCAAGCAUCGAGAGCUACUUUCAAAUGGCUGGUUUUGGAAUAUCAGUUAGGAAACUGUUAUCAUGAAUGUAACCACACAAUGGCCGUGCACUCCAAAGCAGAUAGGACAAAAUGGUAAGGAAGUGAGCCUGCUUGUGACUGUGUAGAGCCUCCAUCCCUGGGUUUUCAUUUAUUCUGCACUAGUGGGCUUAGGUAGAAAUGAUGCUUAUGUGUAAAGAACUGAUGAGUCAUGAGGAGAUUUGAGAGUUACAAAGUUUUAAAGAAACACAAUCUUUAGGUCAUUUCGUUCAAUGUGUACUGAUGAAUAAUGUGGACAAGGUGAAUAAGUACCACUCAAUAACCAAUCGUGCAAGUUUAUAGAUUUAUGUCACAAAUUAAGUUCUUUUGGUUGUUUGGUCGUUUUGUUUUGUUUUGUUUUGUUUUGUUUUGUUUUGUUUUGUUUUGUUUUGUUUUGUUUUGUUUUUCCAGACAUGGUUUCUCUGUGUAGCCCUGGCUGUCCUGGAACUCACUCUGUAGACCAGGCUGGCUUUGAACUCAGAAAUCUGCCUGCCUCUGCCUCCCAAGCACUGGAAUUAGAGGUGUGUGCCACCACUGCCUGGCACAAACUAAGUAUUUACUAUAUUAAGGUGUUUUUUGGUUGUUGUUGUUGUUAUCAUCAAACUGGAUUCAUCUCAUUUGAAUAUUCAGUUUUAUUAGUUACUUGAGAGUUUCAUAUGUGUUUUGGUCAUGUUCACCCUCCUGCAUUAAUUCCUGCUCAAUCUCAUGAAUCUUCCCUUUUGAAAAAUCUCACCUAAUGUUAUCUUUCUUUUUGACUGUAUGGAUUAUAAACAGUUUCUGACAUGUUUAAGUAGUCAUUUGCAGAAAAGAUAUAUCUUCCAGGGCUGAUGAGUUGGCUCAAUAUGUAGAGUGUCUUCCAUAUAAACAUGAGGGAGGACUGCCCUAAUUGGAAUCAUUAAUCAAUACAUAAAUACUCAGGUGCCAUGGCUGUUGUCUCUAAUCCCAUCUCAGGAAAGAUGGAGAGGAGCGAUUCCUGAACUCAAUGGGCACAAACUCUAGUGGAGAGCAAUAAAGAAUAUCACCUAGCACCUAGCCCCCCUCUCUUCCCCCCCCAUACACCACACAUCACGUGUAUGCAUGUAUGCAUGCACACAUACAAGCAUAUGCACACAUGUAUACCUAUACAUGUAAAAGAUACAAAGAAAAGCAACUACCAAGUCCUGUUGCAAUUUGUUCUUUUAUAGCUAGAUCUAUAGUCUCCAAGGUCGUGCACAUUUAUAUACUCAUGGGCAGCCUAAUGAAAGUGAUCAACUGAGAACAAAAUGCUAAAGUUAACAUAGCCCAAGCACAUGGCUUCAGGUUAUCAGUUAGCUCUACCAAGGCAGAAGCUGAUGUAAUCUUUCUGAAUCUUGUAGCCCCAGAUCCACUUUGGCCUGAAACCCCAUUCUGCGCACAAGAGUGAGUGCCUUCUACCAUACAAAUCCUCUGGUGGGAGAAAAAUAUUCAGCAAUAAUGCUACAAAGAUUAAAAUCUCAGCUCAUUCAUUUAAAAUCUUGUUUUAUUAGUAAAAUAUGUUGAUUAAAUAGCUGAAAACCAAUAGUGAUGCAAACUAUAAAACAAUUUGCACCAAGAAAUGGUUUUUUUUUUUAGAUGUAGUAAUUGAUUUACAAUGAAACAAAAAGCUAUCCAGUUUCUACUAUAUGUAGACCACUUCCUUCUUCUAUUGGCUGAAUUCUGGACAUGUGUUUUUCUACUUGGUAUGAAUAUUUCUUUUUACAUUUAUUUUUUUAGAGGGAUAAAUACAUAAAAAUAAAAUAAAACAUUUUCAGUAGUAAAACAAAUUUUACUCAAAUUAACAGUUUCUCUUCUAUAUUUGGGAAUUAUGACAGAGUGAUAUACAAUUCAAAAUCAAUUAUUUCUAUAUAGUUUCUAUAUAUAACUAUUUAAAUAUAAUAUAUGUGUAACUAAUAAACAAUAUAUUCAUUCUCUAUUUAGCUGUUUUAAUGUUAGCAGGAUUCUAAGUUAUCAAAAUAUGUACUAGAAAGGAAAAUGU
rnacentral:lncRNA from 1 species